rnacentral:rRNA from 1 species
GACGAACGCUGGCGGCGUGCCUAAUACAUGCAAGUAGCACGCAGUUGCGAACGGGUGAGUAACGCGUAGGUAACUGCCUCAUAGCGGGGGAUAACUAUUGGAAACGAUAGCUAAUACCGCAUACUGUGAGAUGGACCUGCGUUGUAUUAGCUAGUUGGUGAGGUAAAGGCUCACCAAGGCGACGAUACAUAGCCGACCUGAGAGGGUGAUAGGCCACAGGGGGACUGGGAAACGGCCCAGACUGCUACGAGGGGCGGAAGUAGGGAUUCUUCGGCAAUGGACGGAAGUCUGACCGGGCAAAGCAGCGUGAAUAAAGAGGGUUUUCGGAGCAAAACGCACUGUUGUUAGGGAAGGGGUAACUAACCAGAGAGGGACGGCUAACUACGGACCAGCGGCGGCGGUAAUAC